CCUACGGGAGGCAGCAGUGAGGAAUAUUGGUCAAUGGGCGGGAGCCUGAACCAGCCAAGUCGCGUGAGGGAAGACGGUCCUAUGGAUUGUAAACCUCUUUAGGCGGGGAGCAAUGCCGGGCACGCGAGCCCGGAGGGAGAGUACCCGCAGAAUAAGCAUCGGCUAACUCCGUGCCAGCAGCCGCGGUAAUACGGAGGAUGGGAGCGUUAAGCGGAUUUUAUGGGUUUAAAGGGUGCGGAGGCGGAUUUUUAAGUCAGCGGUGAAAUGACCCGGCUCAACCCGGGCGGGUCCUUUGAAACUGGAGAUCUUGAGUGGGGGAGAGGAAUGUGGAAGGCGAUGUGUAGCGGUGAAAUGCGCAGAGAUAACGAGGAACACCAGUGGCGAAGGCGGCUUUCCGGCCCCUGACUGACGCUGAGGCACGAAAGCGUGGGGAUCAAACAGGAUUAGAUACCCGGGUAGUC
rnacentral:rRNA from 1 species